CCAGACCCAACCAGACCAAGCAAUGGAAAAAAAUUAAGAGGUCAUACAGUAACUGUUACAGAGGAACACCAACACAGACAUCAGGCAGCUACAGGGGCAGGUAGAGACUAGCCAUCACAUGGCUACAGGGGCAGGUAGAGACCAGCCAUGACAUGGCUACAGGGGCAGGUAGAGACCAGCCAUGACAUGGCUACAGGGGCAGGUAGAGACCAGCCAUCACAUGGCUACAGGGGCAGGUAGAGACUAGCCAUCACAUGGCUACAGGGGCAGGUAGAGACUAGCCAUCACAUGGCUACAGGGGCAGGUAGAGACUAGCCAUCACAUGGCUACAGGGGCAGGUAGAGACUAGCCAUCACAUGGCUACAGGGGCAGGUAGAGACUAGCCAUCAGACAGCUACAGGGACAGGUAGAGACUAGACAUCAGACAGCUACAGAGGCAGUUAGAGACUAGCCAUCAGACAGCUACAGGGACAGGUAGAGACUAGACAUUAGACAGCUACAGAGGCAGUUAGAGACUAGCCAUCAGACAGCUACAGAGGCAGUUAGAGACUAGCCAUCAGACAGCUAAAGGGACAGGUAGAGACUAGCCAAUGAGCUCCUCUUUUCCCCAUCAUCAUUCCUUAUCCACUUUUUUAAAAUUCACUUCAACAGUUUUCUCCAUCCCAUUGUUUCCACUCUGCACAGGACUGCACUGAGAUUGCUGAAAUAUUAACAAGAUAAUACAGACUGCAGAAGCAGCCAAUGAAAUUUGACUUCAAUGAAAAGCCCUCCCUUUGAUUAUUGUGUCACUACUUCACUGAUUGGAAUAGAGAAACUCUUUCUUUAACUAACUGCCAUGAUUGCCAUUAAUAUUCUUUUGAGCAGUGAGUCUUUAUGCAGCCUCAAUCACUCAAGUCAUUCACCUCAAUGCAAUUCAGCCAUCUUCCUUCGACGAAGUGCCUCUGCCGUGCUUUCCCUCUCUCUGUAGUUAAAUGUAUCUGUUGUGUUUUUAUUCACUAUUGAAGGCAAGGAUAUCGACCCCCUAUAAAUCAAUACCUAACGCAGUGAAGAAUCCAUGUUGGUGUCUUGGGGCCAUUCUUAUAGUAUUUCAGUCACAAUUACCUAGUUUAGUUUAGUUUAGUUUAUUUGAUCAUUUAAAACAAGAUACACAUACAAAUUACACACUUGAUUAAUACUCAAUGAGGAUAAUCACAAAGAAGUAUACAAUUUACAUCCGUUUUGGUCCUCAUGCCCCAAAGAACACAUUUCCACCAUUUAAUUAGACCAGGAGAGUCGCAUGUACUCUGUAAUGGCUGUGCUAUCAUUGAAAAUAAACAAGUGGGCAUAAAAAUAGAACCAGAGAAUCUACAAAAUAGUUCAUCAGCUCCAGAUCCUUUCCAGUGACGGUUUCAAAGGCAAACAGAUCCAUAUCUGAUUGCUGUGCAGUUCAAUACCUCAUAAGCUUCCUGCAGGUACACAUGACCGAUCAUUACGUAUGUACUCUUCUCAUAUUCUGAGAACCUUGUAUAAUGCGACUUUUUGUACGAUGUGCAUUAUAUAUAUAUCCAGUAUAUAUAUUUUAUUUACAUUUUAUUGAUGUUAACAGAAUCAAGUCCCAUUAUUGUUGCAGAAUUAACCAAUAUUUCAGUACAGUUGCAUUAAAUGGUGAUACCAUUCACACACGUGCUGUAUGUUUGUUUCGGUCAAUGGUCAUUGGCUAGUUGUAAAUGGUAGGUUGAAUGAAUGUCAGAGUGCUGAAUGCAGCUUUUGCCCACAUUAAUAAUUCAAGUGAGGGAAUAGAAUGGCCACAGCUUGUGUUUGUUUUACUGU
ensembl:lncRNA